rnacentral:antisense_RNA from 1 species
GGGGCGGUGGCCAGGCGGUUGCCCUGACAACGGGGAACCGACCGACUCUUCCCGGUAGGGAGAGGCGAUGGCGGAAUUACUCCUCUAAUGUCAAGGUAUUCUAAUCACAGAAUUACUGGAGCAUCAAGAAGUGCCUGCAUGCUUGGAAGGGCUUCCAGGCAGAUGAACACACCUCAGCACCGGGUGGCAUUUUCCCAGGGUGCAACCCGGAGCGGCUCUGGGUCACACUGACAAGGACAACAGGGUUAACAAUUUCCAGAGACAGCCCGUACAUAGAAGGAAUGUUUACUGAAAAAAAUGAAGAGGGGUCAGGGCAAGGCGAGGAGCGAGAAGCACCCCCAAGGAAACAGAGAAGACCAGUACAACUGUACCUCUUUGCCAGCUGCACCAUCCGUACCAGGUGGCACGUUCCAGAGCCAUAGCCUCUGUUCUAUUCAUCUCCAGUCUCCUGGGGUGGAAGUGUCCAGCGCAGAGACUGCCACACUGCAAGAUGAAGGGGCUGGACACACGGAAGAGAGAGGCGGAACCCUGCACCCCCUCGACCUCAGCCCUACUGAGUCUCCAAUGGGGCCACGCUUCUGAGUGCACCUCCCCCUGUCAUCUGUAAUGUGAGGGGGAACCAGGCUUGAUAUGGCAUUCCCAAUCCAGGGCCUCUGGACCCCUUGAGAUGCAUAAA